rnacentral:lncRNA from 1 species
GUGUCCCCUGGCCUGCCUCAAGUGGCUGCAGGCAGGAGCAGGUUUCCCUGUGCAGGUAUUUAGAAGUUUGCAGCAAGUCUGUCCCAUGAAAUAUGGAGCUCCAGAUGCAUUAUGUUUGCACUGCAACCUGUGUUAUAUUUUGUGUCUCCACUUUACAGGACUUACUGGCUACCCUCUUGCCAAGAGGAUUUCUCUGGCAAAUCCUUCAAUGCUCCUGCCCUCCAAGCCAAUGCCCCUCAUCCCAAGGAGCUCUUCCAAGCCAAUGAAGAGCUGCAGUGGAGAGCACAUUACUGGGAAAAGUGGCACUGGCAAUGACAAUGACAGUGGAAAAGAACAGGAGUCAUGUUCAGAGGGAAAAGGACGUAAGGCUUCCUUGCUGUAUCCCACUGAAGGGGAUAAGAAGAAGGAAUCACUGGGACUGCCUUUGAUCCCCCCGAUACGCAGGGCAGUAAGUCCCGAUGUUGGCAGUGCUGCAGGGUCUCUGCAAAGCUCUCUGCAGCUGGAUGUGCAAGAGUCCCAGGAGAUGAGGCCCAGAUCCACCAGGAGAAGCGAAGAUGACAACUCUGAAGAAGGAGGUAGGUACAGGACAUGUCUGUCCUCAAAUGACCAUUGGAAUUUUGACUCAGAGGUGUCAUUUUGAAAGCUUGGUUGAAAAUAAUUAAUUUUAAAAUUUAUUUGACUUCAUUUCAAUACCUUGAUGGGCCCAGUGGGCUCCUGGAGAGUCCAGUCACAGGGAGUGUGCUCUGGUGGUGCAGUGAAUAGGCCGCCAGUGUGAAGUGUUGAAUGGCAGGAGCUGGAGUGGUACCUUUGGGCCCUGGAAAUGCAGUGCAGGAAAAAGAAACAAUCUACUCCACCUAGCACUUGCCCUUUAUCUCCCUGCAGCAUUUCCAGAGUCACAGUUAGUAGAAAAUGAGCAGGCAUUGAGCAUGAAAUGGGAAAUGUUCCCAGUCCUACGUCCUGCCCUUGAAGGAGAAAACCUUUCCUUGGGGCACUUUCUGGGCUGAACCCUUUGAGAUCUGAAGGAGAUUCAUGGACAUUGCCUGGUUCUGCACUGCGAGAAAUAGAGAAACCUCCUCUGAGGGAAAGUCCUUGUGAAAUUUCCGAUUAAGGAGAAGGAGGUUUCCAAAUGGAUGCAGCCUAUGCAGGGUCUGAGUUUGUCAUCCUCUGAGAGCACAAGCCCAAAGCCACCUAUGGCAGGUUCACCAUGACAAAUAUCUUCCCCGACUCUCUCUGCCUGGGUCAGUGCUGCAGGCUGAGGCUGCAGGAGGAGAUGCCUUCUGCCUUGUCCCUCCCUGCCUGCCUUGCCUGAUCCCUGACAAGUAGAAUUGUGCCAGACAAAAUGCAGUCUCUGAUGCAUCUGUGUCAGCCAAUGCUUUCAAGUUGAAAGCCUCAAUGAAAGUCUGUUGUUGUUCCUUUGCCAUCUCUGGGCAUUUACUGAUAGGAGAGAUGAGACUUGAAGACAUAAUUUUGCUGCUGCAGGAAAAGGGAUCAGAUGUCCUGGUCCCUUUGCUCAGGGUUUGUUCUGCCAAAUCCUGGGUACAGCCCCUUUGGAAAGACUCCUUAAUUGCUGAUAUGCAGCUGCAAUGCUGAAUGCAGUUGGGGAGAAUUACUGCUCAGUAUUGCUCAGGUGACAUUUUUGCUGGAUUGAUUCUGGCCUAGAAAUUACCUAUCUCAUCAAAGGUUGCCAGAUGCUCUUUUGUAAAUGACGUCACCAUUGUACUGGGAUAAAGAAACACAGAUUUUACCCGAGUCUUCUAUUUAUGCUCUACACUCUGCUGUUUGCAUUUAGGAAAUUCUUAGUGGUUUUUAACUGCCAUGAUCAGAAAUGUUUUAUUGCAGGUGAUCUUUGUGUUGGUAUUUGGUGUCUCUGCAGGAAAGAAAGCAGGGAAUAAACCCCAGGGGCAGGGAAUCUGAGCA